AUGCUCACGCGUGCUAAACGCGGCCUUUUUCAGCCCGUUGAUCGUCUCAACCUAACGGUGUCUCACUCGACUCCCUCCCUUGUUCCCAAAACAUACCGGGGUGCUCUUCAUGAUCCUCACUGGCGUCGUGCCAUGCUCGAGGAAUUUGAUGCUCUUGUUGCUAAUGGGACUUGGUCACUCGUUCCACGCCCUUCUCGUGCUCAUGUUGUUUCAGGGAAAUGUAUCUUCAAACACAAGUUCCACGCCGACGGCAGCCUUGCCCGCUACAAGGCUCGAUGGGUGGUCCGUGGAUACUUUCAGUAG
rnacentral:rRNA from 1 species